UCCUUCGUUGUAGAAUAAAAUAACAAAUGAUGUGCAAUUUUUCAAGAUAAAUUAAAUAUCUAUAGCUGGAUGUUUCUGGACAAUUAAUCUGUCUCUAAAAUCUCAACAUCAUUUAGAGUUUCGAGUGAUUUAUCUUAAAGAAACGCAGCGGGAUUCUUCGAUUUUUCAACCAGCCAUCUAAUAAUCAGAAUCAAAAAACUGCGAAAGUCAAACACUGCUGAUGACGGUAUCCUCACACCGCUGGACGUAGAAACGUAAUUUCCAGAUGUCGGUCAAAAUAUCGACGCGAGCGUGACAUGAACAUGACACUUGUGAAACAGUGAUACGAUUUUGGAAAAUGAACGAGGCCGGUAUUUUACGCGUUCGUGGAUAUUCUGUCACGCGUAUUACCGGAUUGCGGGAUAUUCUUUCCCGAGUGAGUGUAAUGAAAUCGACGCCGGAAAUGGAAUGGAUGACUGUCUCGAAACGCGGAUGAUCGAGAAACGGAAUAAUAAAUUUGACGGGAAUUUUUCUCUGUCAGAUGUAUCAUUGUCGGGUAAUGGAUGAUUGUAGAACGUUUUCAUUUAAUGGAAGGAAAUUUUAAUCGAUUAUCUGGAUUAUCUAAUUAUCAUUUGAGAACGAAAAAUCAUAUAUUCGAUUUUUUCGAUCGUAUCGAAAAUAAUAAAUUUGCAUAAACACGGCAUUAAUGAAACAGAAACUUUUUCCACGAUUAAUCAACCUUCGUUUCUUCGAACAAACUCCCGCAGAGUUGGUCCCAAGACAAGAAUAUGUGAAAAGGAAGCACAUUGGAGAAGCAAAGUAUCGCGUAAAAGAGCUAGAGGGGUAACACGAUCCGGAGUCAUUCCUCCGGUGAGUUAUUUCUCGUGUAAGACGGAUGCGAGGUAUAGAUACAUGUAUGAAACAACAAAAAAGGGAAAAUCCAACUAUGCAACCAGAUUACAGUCCCUCUGAAGUUCUUUGACUUUCUACUCCUCUGGUUCAUUCUAUCAUUGCCGUGAAACUUUCUUCUUCGUAAAAUAUGUCUGGGAUUUGUAAAUAUUUUUUUCUUCUUUCCAGUAUUUUGAACGUGAAAGUGUGAGGAUCGAUCGAGAAAAAGUGUUUCAAUGAUUAAUAAAAUUUUGUUUCGUUGUUA